rnacentral:tRNA from 1 species
GCGGCGGUGGUGAAAUUGGUAGACACGCCAGCUUGAGGGGCUGGUGGCCGCAAGGCCGUGAAGGUUCAAGUCCUUUCCGCCGCA